rnacentral:rRNA from 1 species
AUGGCCGCCUCGCCUUCCCUCCACGCCCCCCGCCUCCUCCACCUGCUCCCGAACCCCGCCCCGACUCUCGGCAGGCCCCGGCGGCGGCGCCUCGCGACGGCGCCGGCGUCGGCUGUGCCGCCGUCGAGGAACGGGAGCUCGGCGGGGACGGACUGGUGCCCCGUGCCCCCGGAGCAGCGGCCCGUGAACGAGUACGAGGCGCUGGCCGCGUCGCUGCCCUUCUCCUGGGCGGCGGGGGACCUGCGCCUCUACUGCUCCCGCCUCGCCUUCACGGGGGCCGCCUUCGCGCUCUUCGUCGGCCUCCCCGUCGCCGCCUUCGGCGGCCGCGGGGGCGCCGGCGGCGACGCCCUGCACCUCGCGCUCGGGGCCACCGGCUCCGGCAUCCUCGCCGUCACGCUCGCCGUCGUAAGGAUGUACCUCGGCUGGGCCUACGUCGGGAACCGCCUGCUCAGCGCCACCGUCGAGUAUGAGGAGACGGGAUGGUACGACGGGCAGAUAUGGGUUAAAACCCCAGAAGUUCUAGCUCGUGAUCGUCUUCUCGGAUCAUUUUCUGUGAAGCCGGUGCUGAACAGAGUGAAGUUCACCCUGGUGGGCCUGGCGGUGUCGCUGACCCUCUGCAUCCUCCUGUACGCAAACACCGAGAAGCCGAGGGAGCCGCUGGAGAACCCCGCCGGCGGGAGGGCCAUCCCCGGGGUGUACAGCGACGCCGCCGCGAGGUCGUUCGAGCCCGAUGCCUUCUGCGGGGAGCCCGACCUCGGCGGCGACCAGUCGUAA